rnacentral:rRNA from 1 species
UACAGAGGGGGCAAGCGUUAUUCGGAUUUAUUGGGCGUAAAGGGCGCGUAGGCGGCCUGGCAAGUGGGAGGUGAAAUCGCCCGGCUCAACUGGGCGGGGUCAGCGGAUACGGCAGAGCUUGAGCAAGCUAGGGGGCAAUGGAAUUCCCGGUGUAGUGGUGGAAUGCGUAGAUAUCGGGAGGAACACCAGUGGCGAAGGCGGUUGCCUGGGGCUUUGCUGACGCUGAUGCGCGAAAGCGUGGGGAGCGAUCCGG